GGCCUGCCCGCUGACUUAUUGUUGAAGGGCCGCGGUAUUUUGACCGUGCAAAGGUAGCAUAAUCAUUAGUUCUUUAAUUGUGAUCUGGAAUGAAUGGCUUGACGAGAUGCGAGCUGUCUUAAAUUUGAAUGUUUUAUUGAAUUUGGUUUUUGAGUUAAAAUUCUUAGAUGUUUUUAUGGGACGAGAAGACCCUAUAGAGUUUGACAUGUUGAUUUGCUUGUUUAUUUGUAGUUUGUUUUAUUUUUAAUAAGUGGGUCUUGUGUUUUGUUGGGGCGAUGAGAGGAAUAUAAUUUAACUCCUCUUGGUUUAGUGGUUAUAUUGAUUUAUAUUUAUUUGAUCCAUUUAUUUUGAUUAUAAGAUUAAAUUACC
rnacentral:rRNA from 1 species